rnacentral:rRNA from 1 species
UGCGUAGGCGGCUUUGCAAGUCAGAUGUGAAAUCUAUGGGCUCAACCCAUAAACUGCAUUUGAAACUGUAGAGCUUGAGUGAAGUAGAGGCAGGCGGAAUUCCCCGUGUAGCGGUGAAAUGCGUAGAGAUGGGGAGGAACACCAGUGGCGAAGGCGGCCUGCUGGGCUUUAACUGACGCUGAGGCACGAAAGCGUGGGGAGCGAACA